rnacentral:lncRNA from 1 species
CACAAGUAAAAACUUGAGCUAGGGAGGAACCUUGGAUAUUCAGUCUACAUCUCAAACAGCAUAGCUGCCAAAAAUGAGGCCUGUCCAUUAAAGUGGAGGAGAUAUCCUUGCUGAUGGCAAAAACUGCUUUUUCUUUUUGGGACGGAAUCUUGCUCUGUCGCUCGGGUUGGAGUGCAGUGGCGCCAUCUCAGCUCACCAAAACCUCCACCUCCUGAGUUCAAGUAAUUCUCUGCCUCAGCCUCACGAGUAGCUGACAGGCGCCCACCUCCACGCCCGGCUAAUUUUUGUAUUUUUAGUAGAGAUGGGGUUGCAAUGAGCCAAAAUCACACCACUGUACACUCCAGCCUGGGUGACAGAGUGAGACUCUGUCUUUAAAAAAAAAAAAAAAGGAACAUUAACUGCAAUAUUCUUGAUGAUGCAAAUUUUUAAAAACUAAAUCCAGCCAGAUUUUUCAGCCUUAAAAACUAAGAUCCAAACUAUUCAACAUCUCUACAAAUUAUAUACUCAUUGAAUUCAGGAACAAUAACAGAAUUCAACAAUCAGCUCAACUUAAACUGUAAGUAAACAA